rnacentral:rRNA from 1 species
UACGUAGGGGGCAAGCGUUAUCCGGAUUUACUGGGUGUAAAGGGAGCGUAGACGGCAGCGCAAGUCUGGAGUGAAAUGCCGGGGCCCAACCCCGGAACUGCUUUGGAAACUGUGCAGCUCGAGUGCAGGAGAGGUAAGCGGAAUUCCUAGUGUAGCGGUGAAAUGCGUAGAUAUUAGGAGGAACACCAGUGGCGAAGGCGGCUUACUGGACUGUAACUGACGUUGAGGCUCGAAAGCGUGGGGAGCAGACAGG